AUGUUGCUAAACGUGAUUUCCGUGUGCCUGCUAUUACUGGUGACUUUAACAUCUGUGAUUGACGAAGGUCUUGCAGCUGAUGAGGGCACGGUUCAACAACCGGUUGUAUAUAUUGACGUUGAAAUCGCUAGGAAACCAUUAACUGAAGAAUGGUCAGAGGAGAUGUGUGCAGGGGCGUUAGACAUAAAUGGCUGUACAGACACGACAGAAAAAGAAAGGAUUCAGAAAAUAUCAAAUAAAGCUUGGAAACAAAAAUUAAAAGCAAAGUGGAAGGCAAGAAAGACAAAGUGGCAGCAGAGGAUUCUGAAACUCAGAAAAAUGUUUAGGGACAGGCAAUUGCAGAACAAGAGGCCAAAGAAAACUAAGGAUCUGGUAAAA